rnacentral:tRNA from 2 species
GGAGAAGUAUCGAAGUGGUCAUAACGAGCUCGACUCGAAAUCGAGUUGACGGUAACACGUCACGUGGGUUCGAAUCCCACCUUCUCCGCCA